rnacentral:lncRNA from 1 species
UGGAAGUUUGAGCUUAUACCAGUAUUCCUAUAUUCUUGCCCUGUUCCUACCUUUUUCCCUGAGCAUUUGCCAUUUGUUACAGUUAGAGACAAGGCACCAGAUAGAUAGACCUUUGGUCUGACAUAGUAAGGCUCUUCUGAUGACUGACAUAAGGGAAAAUGAGGAAUUGCAUAUCUGUCAUGCCUGACAGUAAUAUGUUGUCGGAGGUUUCCAUGGAAGCAGCACAACAUAGUUCAGCAUCAACUGCUGCAUAAAUAAUGCCUUCAGAAUGCUCAAGCUGCAAAUUAUGAGAAAGACAGAGGAAAGUUCAGAUCACAAAUCAUACUCCAUGGCAGGGAGGACAGGAGAGAACUGCAAGGCAACAGCGGGGACACAGGAUGAUGCAGAGCUGGUCAGUGUCAGAUACUGAGGAUGUAGCAAGAGUGUCUUACCAGGGUGAAAAGGUCUGGGUUAGCACACAGAAAAUACCAUCCCAACAAGGAUUAAUUGAAGAGAU